GUGAGUCAUCGAAUCUUUGAACGCACAUUGCACUCCUUUGGAGUAUGCCUGUUUGAGAAUCUAUAGUAUUUAUUUUUGGUUAUUUCGCAAGAGAUGAUCAAGAGAUUUGAGAUGUCUCGUCUUCUGGGCGAGUAUCUUUAAUGUUAUAGCCUCUUUUGUGGUAAAACAACUCUUGCAGAACAGUAUUUGAAUGGAACUUUGGUUUCUUUAAUGCCCAAUACGCAGACUUACCUAUUGAAAGGGGGGUCCAUAAACUUAAAGUAGUACCGUCGGUGUCUACUUGAACCAUGGUCUCAAAUCAGGUAGGAAGACCCGCUGAACUUAAGCAUAUCAAUAAGCGGAG
rnacentral:rRNA from 1 species